rnacentral:rRNA from 1 species
UACGGAGGGUGCAAACGUUGCUCGGAAUUAUUGGGCGUAAAGCGCACGUAGGCGGUCUGUUAAGUCGGAUGUGAAAGCCCCCAGGCUCAACCUGGGAAGUGCAUUCGAAACUGGCAGGGCUUGAAUAUGGAAGAGGGGUCGCGGAAUUCCCGGUGUAGAGGUGAAAUUCGUAGAUAUCGGGAGGAACACCAGUGGCGAAGGCGGCGACCUGGGCCAAUAUUGACGCUGAGGUGCGAAAGCGUGGGGAGCAAACAGG